AGCUUUCUGAAUCCGUGCAGAGAUGUUAUCAAACACCAACCCACUAAGGUUGAUCAGACUCCCAAGAUAAGUGAAGUU
rfam:Schistosoma curassoni strain Dakar, Senegal genome assembly, scaffold: SCTD_scaffold0007801